rnacentral:rRNA from 1 species
UACGAAGGGUGCAAGCGUUACUCGGAAUUACUGGGCGUAAAGCGUGCGUAGGUGGUUUGUUAAGUCUGAUGUGAAAGCCCUGGCUCAACCUGGGAAUGGCAUUGGAAACUGGCGAUCUAGAGUGCGGUAGAGGGUAGUGGAAUUCCCGGUGUAGCAGUGAAAUGCGUAGAGAUCGGGAGGAACAUCUGUGGCGAAGGCGACUGCCUGGACCAGCACUGACACUGAGGCACGAAAGCGUGGGGAGCAAACAGG